GUGCCAGCCGCCGCGGUAAUACGGAGGAUGCAAGCGUUAUCCGGAAUGAUUGGGCGUAAAGCGUCCGCAGGUGGCAAUGAAAGUCUGCUGUUAAAGAGUGAGGCUCAACCUCAUAAAAGCGGUGGAAACUACAUAGCUAGAGUACGUUCGGGGCAGAGGGAAUUCCUGGUGUAGCGGUGAAAUGCGUAGAGAUCAGGAAGAACACCGGUGGCGAAAGCGCUCUGCUAGGCCUGUACUGACACUGAGGGACGAAAGCUAGGGGAGCGAAUGGGAUUAGAUACCCUUGUAGUCC
rnacentral:rRNA from 1 species